AAUCAACGCUGGCGGCGUGCCUAACACAUGCAAGUCGCACGAGAAAGGGACUUCGGUCCUGAGUAAAGUGGCGCACGGGUGAGUAACACGUGACUAAUCUACCCUCGAGUGGGGAAUAACCUAGGGAAACCUGGGCUAAUACCGCAUAACACUUACGAGUCAAAGCAGCAAUGCGCUUGGGGAGGAGGUCGCGGCAGAUUAGUUAGUUGGCGGGGUAAUGGCCCACCAAGACGANGAUCUGUAUCCGGCCUGAGAGGGCGCACGGACACACUGGAACUGAAACACGGUCCAGACUCCUACGGGAGGCAGCAGUGGGGAAUUGUUCGCAAUGGGCGCAAGCCUGACGACGCAACGCCGCGUGGAGGAUGAAGACCUCGGUCGUAACU
rnacentral:rRNA from 1 species